rnacentral:rRNA from 1 species
UGGGGAAUUUUGGACAAUGGGGGAAACCCUGAUCCAGCCAUCCCGCGUGUGCGAUGAAGGCCUUCGGGUUGUAAAGCACUUUUGGCAGGAAAGAAACGUCAUGGGUUAAUACCCCGUGAAACUGACGGUACCUGCAGAAUAAGCACCGGCUAACUACGUGCCAGCAGCCGCGGUAAUACGUAGGGUGCAAGCGUUAAUCGGAAUUACUGGGCGUAAAGCGUGCGCAGGCGGUUCGGAAAGAAAGAUGUGAAAUCCCAGAGCUCAACUUUGGAACUGCAUUUUUGACUACCGGGCUAGAGUGUGGCAAAGGGAGGUGGAAUGCGGCGUGUAGCAGUGAAAUGCGUAGAUAUGCGAAGGAACACCGAUGGCGAAGGCAGCCUCCUGGGAUAACACUGACGCUCAUGCACGAAGGCGUGGGGAGCAAACAGG